UACGUAGGGUGCGAGCGUUGUCCGGAAUUAUUGGGCGUAAAGAGCUUGUAGGCGGUUUGUCGCGUCUGCUGUGAAAAUCCGGGGCUCAACCCCGGACUUGCAGUGGGUACGGGCAGACUAGAGUGUGGUAGGGGAGACUGGAAUUCCUGGUGUAGCGGUGAAAUGCGCAGAUAUCAGGAGGAACACCGAUGGCGAAGGCAGGCUCUGGGCCACUACUGACGCUGAGAAGCGAAAGCAUGGGGGAGCGAACAGG
rnacentral:rRNA from 1 species